ACUGGUGUACUUGUUUGUGGAGCCUGCAGAACUGCCUUUUUCAAGAAUGUUCAUUUGAUGAGCUGACAUUAGGAGCUACAAAUGAAGUAACACGGACUCGUACUGGUAAGAAGAGACUACAGAUGAAAAGGAGUGGGAGAAUGAAGGAGGGAAUAAAAAGAAAGGUCUAAGCGAUAAAAGAAGUAGGAACUGGAGCAACCCUGUAGAAGAUCAGUGAAUCGGCUGAGAGUUGGUUUUGGAAAAGUGAAAAUAACCCAGAUGCAUAGACUGCGUGGAAUCGACAGCAAAUAGAGACUGCCCGGCAGUGCAAGGUGGGGGAAGCUGGACCACUUGAGGGCUGUUUCUAUCAGAUGCCAGGCUACUUUCCAAGCUACCAUAAGAUUUAGAAUAAAAGCAGGGCGAACCCUGUGGCAGCGGCUUGUGUGGCACAACAGAGUAGGGUGAGUCCUUGAGAGAGUAGGGGCGGUCCUGACCCCAGCGGGAGCAGGGGAUUCUGGGUAGUUUUCAAAAUGGAGGCUCGCCCUCUAGUGGUGCCUGGAGAGAAU
ensembl:lncRNA PACRG-AS3 PACRG antisense RNA 3